rnacentral:rRNA from 1 species
UACGGAGGGUGCAAGCGUUAAUCGGAAUUACUGGGCGUAAAGCGUGCGCAGGCGGUUUGUUAAGUUCCGUUGUGAAAGCCCCGAGCUCAACUUGGGAAUUGCAGUGGAUACUGGCAGGCUGGAGUACGGUAGAGGGAGGUGGAAUUCCCGGUGUAGCAGUGAAAUGCGUAGAUAUCGGGAGGAACACCAGUGGCGAAGGCGGCCUUCUGGACCAGU